GAAUGAAAAAUCAGGAAAGCACUCUAAAUGGGAUUUUGAUCCCCCACCAAUGGACAUUAUGAGAUUCAUUGAUUUUCCCACACCCCGUGAACGUCCACCAUCAAAGCCAAGUGAAUGUAAUUCAGAAAGGAACGCAAGGAAAUAUGAUGAUGAUUAUUUUUGGGACAAUUUAAGUGAAGAACAAUUUAAAGAACUUGAUGCCCAAAUUGAAGAUAUAGAAAGGAACAGGACAGAUAAGUCACUUUCUAGCAGUGCAGUUAAGCAAACUCCUGUACCUACAGAUAACCCAAUUGAACAUUUAGAAAGGAAGCCAACAAGAGUUGAAAAGACAACAUCAGCUACAACCUAUGGUCUACAAUCUGCUCCCAGCACUUCACACACACCCCUGCGUAUCAACCUCCGCCCAGAAGGCCAGCACGACCAGGGCGUGCUUUGCAGUCCCCAUAUAUUGAUUAUGGCAGAAAUGACUUGAAGUGCAGCAAGGUUGCAAGUCAUGCAUAUGAUGUGGUAUGCUCGGCCACUACAAGGUCAACCAAGGUCAACCAGGAGUUCGAGUCAAAGCUCAAGCCAAGGAGACGAUAUCAUAAUCAGUUAUCCAGAUUACUAUGUGAGCUUGAAGCACCUUUCUGAAUCAGUUAAACCAGGUGGAAAAUUAUUCAACACAGUAGCUGAAAUUGCUAUAUAUGCAUUAAAAGACAGAAAGGCCAAGAUCCCUGUAAAACAAAUACUCCCACUAAGAAUAGCUUCUUUUCUACAAGAUGGGAUUCUGGAUAAUGGGGAGAUUAAUAGUGCUUUCCAAAGAAGCCUCCAUCACCUAGACCGUUCUCAAUUGAUAAUUGAUCGUCCACUUAAUCCUCUUCUUUUUUUUUCAAAAUAGGCAAUUUAACUAUGUUCAUUAGGCUAUAAUAUUGUUUCAUUUUAGGCUAUACUUUUUUUUAAAAAAAAAUAUGCAAUCUUGGGUGUCCUACCAUCAUAACUUUUUGUUUUCGUGUUCUAAAAUUUGUGGAGCAAUUUAUAGAAAAUAACAAAAUAUGACAUGUGUAGGGGCAGAGAACAACAGGUAGUGCCUAUGUUAAAUUGUCCAUAUCUCAAUUUGAUUCACGACCAUCUUUUUUAUUUUUAUUUUUUUAGAAGCCUGCUAGCUGUUAUAUCACUCAAGGAUUAUGUUUUUUCUGGCAAUAUAGAUGCUAUGAAGCUUUUUUUGGUUUUAGUAGCUAUUCUCAUUUUUUUGCUAGCAUUUUUUUUGUAGGUCAUGUUUCCUGUAUUGCAAAAUAUUCGUUUCAAAAGGCUUGAUAGAACAGUGGGCCACUUCUUCCUUCUAGUGUUGAACCUAAGGGAAGAAAGGUUUGAAGUUCUCGAUUCUAUGAGGUCUCUCGCUGACAUUAACUUGAAGACAUGCUGCAACAAUUUGAUCACUGCAAUUAAGGAACUUUGGCGCAAACAUUACCCUAAUUCAAGGAAGAAUAUUGACAAGUACCAACUGAUUGAUAUUAAUGUUCCAUUGCAGUCAAACAAUCAUGAUUGCGGGUUCCACAUGCUAAUGCACUGUGAACACUGGAAUGGUCUUAACAUGCCAGAGUUUAAGGAAAAAGAUAUGCCAACUAUUCGAAAGAUGCUCACAUACAAAUGGCUCCAACAUCCAGAAAACAAUAUUGCAUGGAGAUGUAAAAUGAAUAUUUGCUAGGGGUGAGGCUAUGUGCAGCAACUAACACAAGAAAGUUUAAUGUAUAGGAGUAACCAUGUGCAGCAGCUAACACAAGAAGCUUUUUAAUGCAGAAAGAUGUACAUCUGCAUGUGUGGUGCAUACAACAUAUACACAUGUCAUCUAAUGGGUACCCAAGACGUACAGUGGUGUAGUAUCAGAUCUGCUAAUGUAGUAGAAACUAUAGUACUAUGUGAUACAAGAGAUCUGGAUUGCUUAUGCAAAACAACUGAUUUUUGCUUUUAUGCAAAAGUAGUGAAUUGCUCAAAAGUUAGGAUAAGAUCUGCUAUUUCUUACAGAGUAACAGAUCUGGCUAGUUAGGUGAUUCAAGAGAACAAAUCUGGCAGAAGAAACCUUCUAGUAACAGAUCUGGCUAGUUCUAUUUUGAGACUAUUUUGUUGAAAGUAGUGGCAGAAGAAGUUGAUAGUACC